rnacentral:rRNA from 1 species
CUCCAGACUCCUACGGGAGGCAGCAGUGGGGAAUAUUGGGCAAUGGGCGCAAGCCUGACCCAGCAACGCCGCGUGAAGGAAGAAGGCUUUCGGGUUGUAAACUUCUUUUCUCAGGGACGAAGAAAGUGACGGUACCUGAGGAAUAAGCCACAGCUAACUACGUGCCAGCAGCCGCGGUAAUACGUAGGGGGCAAGCGUUAUCCGGAUUUACUGGGUGUAAAGGGGGCGCAGACGGCGAUGCAAGCCAGGAGUGAAAGCCCGGGGCCCAACCCCGGGACUGCUCUUGGAACUGCGUGGCUGGAGUGCAGGAGGGGCAGGCGGAAUUCCUGGUGUAGCGGUGAAAUGCGUAGAUAUCACGCAGAACUCCGAUUGCGAAGGCAGCGCACCGGCGCCCUACUGACGCUCAGGCACGAAAGCGUGGGUAUCGAACAGGAUUAGAUACCCGAGUA